rnacentral:lncRNA from 1 species
AUGUCAGGCUCCAAGGAGGUGGGGAUACCAGCUCCCAAUGCUUUGGCCACACUACCAGACAACAUCAAGUUUGUCACCCAAGUGCCAGGUUCUCAAGGGAAGAAAGGCAAAUCAAAAUCUAAAAGGAGUAAGAGUAACAAAGCCACUAGGCAAACCCACUCCAGCGACUUCCUUGUUCUCUCCAAGUGAGGAAGCAGCAAACAAGAAAGAGGUACAGGGUCACUCAGGUGAUGGUACCAAUGCAGGAGGCCUGGUUGCUGCUGUUGCUCCCAAGGGCUCAGAGAAGACUGCUAAGGCAUCACGCAGUGUAGCUGGCUCCAAAAAGGAAAAAGAGAACAGCUCAUCUAAGAGCAAGGACAGAAGUGAAGGUGUGGUGACUUGUUCAGAAAAGGAUCCUGGGGACCUCCAGUCAGUUCCCUUGGGAGGACGGGAUAGUCAGUAUGAUGGAAGUGCAGGGAUGGACACAGGAACCGUGGAGCCACUGGGAGUAUAGCAGCGCUCAAUCCUUCAGGAACUAAGCUGGAGCCAGAGGAAAGGGAGAAUGAGUGCUGGCCACUAAAGAAAGUCAAGUCUGAAAAGACGAAAUCUUCACCACAGCAGCGCUGCCACUGCACCUGAUAGUGCCAGUGGUCAAUAAUGAUAUCUCACCUCCCUGUGAGCAGAUCAUGGUCCAUACCCGAUCAGUUGGAGUCAACACAUGCGACGUGGCUCUACCCACAGUGCCUGAGUGCUUAGGCCCCUGUGAGCCUGGAAUCAGCUUCAACCUUGUAGGCAUCAUGUGGCAGGAAACAAAAGA